GAGAUCGUGACCCGAGCCAAAGUCAGCCGCCCAACCGACUGAGCCACCCAGAACUGGGAGACUGUUGAAAAUAUGUAGUUGAACAUCUUCAAAAUUUUUCCUGGUGGAAAACUGAAACCAGUACUACAUCCCUGGAAGAAUGACAGAAUUGAAGGCCACCAUGAAACACCUGAAAGAUGUCUUUCAUGGUAGGUUUUCGUUUAACUCACUUAUCUGUUAUGCUUAAAUAUGCCUUGAAAAAUGACAGAGAUUAUCGUAAAUACAAUCAGUUGAUGACUCUAUUAUGGCUAUGGUACCAGAUGUGGUUUCUUGACUGGAGUAACCAACACAUAUCCUGAUAUGGGACAAUUGAUCCAAAGUCAAUGUUGUUCAGGCAGAAAAAUAAAGACACAUAUAGGCUUUGGCAGAUAGUAGAAGUGAGGUUUUCAUAGAGGGAGUGUUGGGAUAUCUCCUUCUGCAUCACUCAUUUUGGUGCUCCAGGAAAUAGAAAUCAUUAAUGGCAAUUUGCUGUCAUUUCUGCACUCCCUGAUGUCUUGGAGCUCUUUGCUGCUAGAUCUUUGCUUCCUGGGCCCCUCCUGUGGUUUUGUUAUCUUCUAAUUCCCUGUAUUACAUCUGCUGCUUUCUUAUAAGUCAUAGCAUGGUAUCUGUUUCCCUGACUGAACUUUAACUAAUUUAACCCAGAGCUUUGCCCUCUGCAACUUUGCUCCGUCUCUGUAGUUAAGACCUUCAUUUAUCCAAUAGUUCAAGUCAAAUCUGGCAGCCGUUCUUGAUGACACCCGUCUUUCCCACAAUUUCUCCCACAUAACCUUCUUGUCCCCUGAACUCAGUGUUUUCCAGCACAGGGCAUUAUUGCUGCCUAUAGUGCUCUUCUCUUCAAUGUUCUCACACCUCACUCCCUUACCUAAUUAGGUCUCGGCCCAACUCUCGUCUGCUCAGAGAAGACUUGCCUAAUUACUAUUAUCUUUCCUCACUACUGUUGGCUUUACAACAUAUAUUGAUUUUUUAUUUCGACUCAUGUAUUAUUUUACUCUCCACUCAACUGGAAUAAAAACUCCAAGAAAGCAGACACUACGCCUGUCCUAAUUAUUGAUAUAUACACAUCACCAAAAAUCGGGUAUGCAAUUAGUAGGAAUUCAAUACAACAUUAAUACAAAAAAAGAAUGAGUAAAUAAAUCUCGCAUAUAAAUUGUGUACUUAUAAAUCGUUAUUUUAAAUUUAGUGUAAAAUACAUUCAUAAAGCAUUUAAACUUACAUAAGUUAUAAUACAAUAAUAGCAUUGAGGGGAGGGUAUCAUUUCAUUCAAUGAAUAUCCUCACAGGUGUUGUCAAGCACACAGAAAUGAACUUUCAGAUAAAAAUCAACUUAUUAACACAGAAGACAAUAGAUUUUCCUGCUUGCUUGGGCUGGCUUUGUCUGCUCUGAGUAUGUGAAACUUCACUGCAUUUUUCAGGAAAUGACUUACCUAGCCCACAUCUCAUUCCCUGCAGUGGUCAUUUAACUUAAUUUUUACAAAAGCAAUAAAAGUUUCUCUUUUAAUGUUUGACCCAGAUUGUGAAUUGAGAAAUAUGUACUGUAUAGAAAGUUAGUCAUAACAAUAUGAAAAAUGUAUAACUUAUAUGCGUGAUUUUCAUAUUCUAUUUUUUUAAGUUUAUUUAUUU